rnacentral:rRNA from 1 species
UCUAAACGACUCUCGGCAACGGAUAUCUCGGCUCUUGCAUCGAUGAAGAACGUAGCGAAAUGCGAUACUUGGUGUGAAUUGCAGAAUCCCGUGAACCAUCGAGUCUUUGAACGCAAGUUGCGCCCGACGCCUUCGGGCUGAGGGCACGCCUGCCUGGGCGUCAC